AUGUAUUCAGAUAACCGCGUGGUGUGGCGCUAUAUGUAUAAUUAUGUACAUUAUACACACUAUGAAGAAUACUGUAGUAUGUAUAUAUAUUUAUGUUUAUCAUCGAUGCUCCACGUCAGGAAUGCGACCGAAACCCGCCUUUUAUCACUUAAAGCUAUGGCCACGGUGCGUCUGUGUGUCUGAGGUCUGGUGCAGUCCCACUUAUCACCUGUAGGCAGCGCUGUAUGGAAGCUUCUGGUCCUGGUCAGACCUGAACCAGGUCGAUCUGCUGGGGUAGACCGGGACCCGAAGGGGAGCCACCGGGGUCCUGGUCAGACCUGGAUCAGGUCCUGGUUUUACUGUUAUGUGAUUAGUUAUUGAAGGAUCGCCUCUGAUUGGUUGAAGUGGAAAGAGGGUCAACACUUAUGUCACAUGAAGUGAAGAAAAUGAAGAACAAAGUUACCAACUGCACGGCAGGAUGGUCCUGGCAGCGAUACCUGGAGGAAUGCAAAGCUGAAUCUGCACCUGCCGAUCUGUUUACAAAGGAGCAAUGCUCCACCAAUCAGACUCAUGGAUUCAAGGUGGGGAUGAGCUGGAGGGUGUGGACCCGCUGCACCCCUCCAUCUUCUGUGUGCUGUCCGUUGCCGAGGUGAUUGGCUGCCGGCUGCGGCUCCACAUCGACGGCUACUCCGAGUGCUAUGACUUCUGGGUAAACGCCGACUCCCCAGAUAUCAGACCGGCCGGCUGGUGUCUCCGCCAAAACCACAAGCUCCACCCCCCGAAAG